rnacentral:lncRNA from 1 species
CACAGAACUCAGAUUUGAGAUUGGAAAAGACGGGGACUCUACUAAGGAAAAGACUGUGACCAGCUUCACAAAAGGCAGCAAAGGACUAUCAGAGAAAGAGAACUCCGAGUGAGGGGUCUGGCCUAGGCCCGGGAUCGGACCAGGCUCCCUCAGGACCCCAUCCUUUCCUGCCCGGACCGUGAAUUCAUCUCCUUGAAGCCAUAACGUCCGAGCUGCUGGUGCGGGGCAGCCCUGGCCCUAGGCUUCCUACCCCUGGAAGCGAGAGGAUGAGAGGAGGCCGGCCCAGCUCCUUCUUUCAGGGUGGGGGGCAUUCAGCCUCCACUGUGUCUGUCUUUUCUUCCCUGGGGCUCCCCCUCGAGGCGAGGGGCCAUGCAUGUCUGGGGGACCCCUGCCCCCCAAAACCCUCUGUCUGUCUCUGUCUCUUUGCUGUUUGUCCAAGACUCAGUGUCCCGACCCUUGUUCUCGCCGUGAAUGUCAAUGGGCCAAUCCUCUCUGUCCUUUCAGACACACACACACCUGUGUCCACCCCUUCUGUUCGCCACACCCUGCGUCUGGCCGGUCCCCCCACUGCUGCUGCUAUCAACGCCAGAAUAAACACACUCCGUGGGUCUCACUCCAA